CCUACGGGAGGCAGCAGUGGGGAAUAUUGGACAAUGGGCGAAAGCCUGAUCCAGCAAUGCCGCGUGAGUGAUGAAGGCCUUCGGGUCGUAAAGCUCUUUUACCAGGGAUGAUAAUGACAGUACCUGGAGAAUAAGCUCCGGCUAACUCCGUGCUAGCAGCCGCGGUAAUACGGAGGGAGCUAGCGUUGUUCGGAAUUACUGGGCGUAAAGAGUACGUAGGCGGUUAUUCAAGUCAGAGGUGAAAGCCCGGGGCUCAACCCCGGAACUGCCUUUGAAACUAGAUAACUAGAGUCUUGGAGAGGUUAGUGGAAUUCCGAGUGUAGAGGUGAGAUUCGUAGAUAUUCGGAAGAACACCAGUGGCGAAGGCGACUAACUGGACAAGUACUGACGCUGAGGUACGAAAGCGUGGGGAGCAAACAGGAUUAGAUACCCUGGUAGUCCACGCCACUAACGAUAGAUAACUAGUUGUUCGGUCGUACUUGUGACUGAGUGACGCAGCUAACGACAUUAAGUUAUACCGUCCGUCGGGUAGGUACGGUCGCGAGAAGUAAACUAACAAAUAGAAGUUAGUAACGGUCGUGUUAGACGUGCCGACGGACGACGACGAGGGAGGAGG
rnacentral:rRNA from 1 species